UGGGGAAUCUUGGACAAUGGGCGCAAGCCUGAUCCAGCCAUGCCGCGUGGAUGAUGAAGGCCUUAGGGUUGUAAAAUCCUUUCGCCGAGGACGAUAAUGACGGUACUCGGAGAAGAAGCUCCGGCUAACUUCGUGCCAGCAGCCGCGGUAAUACGAAGGGGGCUAGCGUUGUUCGGAUUUACUGGGCGUAAAGCGCGUGUAGGCGGGUCGUUAAGUUGGUGGUGAAAUCCCGAGGCUCAACCUCGGAACUGCCUUCAAAACUGGCGACCUGGACCUAAGUAGAGGCAAGUGGAAUUGCGAGUGUAGAGGUGAAAUUCGUAGAUAUUCGCAGGAACACCAGUGGCGAAGGCGACUUGCUGGACUUAUGGUGACGCUGAGACGCGAAAGCGUGGGGAGCAAACAGGAUUAGAUACCCCAGUAGUCCCUGAGCGGGCUGGCAAGGCGCAU
rnacentral:rRNA from 1 species